rnacentral:rRNA from 1 species
CCUACGGUGGGCAGCAGUGGGGAAUAUUGCACAAUGGGCGCAAGCCUGAUGCAGCGACGCCGCGUGCGGGAUGGAGGCCUUCGGGUUGUAAACCGCUUUUGUUCAAGGGCAAGGCACGGUCUUUGGCCGUGUUGAGUGGAUUGUUCGAAUAAGCACCGGCUAACUACGUGCCAGCAGCCGCGGGAAUACGUAGGGUGCAAGCGUUAUCCGGAUUUAUUGGGCGUAAAGGGCCCGUAGGCGGUUCGUCGCGUGCGAUGUGAAAGUCCACCGCUUAACGGUGGAUCCGCGGCGGGUACGGGCGGGCUUGAGUGCGGGAGGGGAGACUGGAAGUCCCGGUGUAGCGGUGGAAUGUGUAGAGAUCGGGAAGAACACCAAUGGCGAAGGCAGGUCUCUGGGCCGUUACUGACGCUGAGGAGCGAAAGCGUGGGGAGCGAACAGGAUUAGAUACCCGGGUAGUC